CGGCGGGCCACAUGCCCCCAACGGCAUGCAGCCUAUCUGUAAGGAUAGGAGUA
rfam:Hyphomonadaceae bacterium BRH_c29 BRHa_1000056, whole genome shotgun sequence.